AUGGCUCUGCCAGAGUCUAAAAGUUUCUCUUGUAUUCCUAAGACUCUUUAUUAGGCACAGUCUUGUUUCUAGGAAAAUGAUUGUUUCUGUAAGGUGAUUUCUGUUACAUAUUCUUUUCAGUUAUUUUACAUUCUCUUGGGUUUUUCAGUGUGUAAAACUCUACAAUCAUAUUCUUCAAAGUCAGUGAUUCUUUGGGGAACUUUUGAUUAUUCUGGCCACAAGAUAAUUUUUAUUCUGU
rnacentral:lncRNA from 1 species